GCCGCUUAUGCUUCACUGUUAUAUUAAACGAGGAACGUCGGUGCAGUGUUGCCAGCUGUUCCUUUGCUUCAGCGGUCAGUAUCUCUGUUUCAAUGAAGGAUUGUUUUUUACUGCGCUUGCCCAGCAUCAUUGCCUAAUCUGCAGAUGAUCGAAUAACGUAAAUUAAGGCCAUGCGCGUCUAUGCUGUAAUACUUUCCACUGAACGCUCCCUGUCAUCGCCGAAAGCGACACUGGCAUCUCGCAGAAGAUCUGAAGGUCGCCGGCAUAAAAACGCGUAAUACCUCAGCUGAAUUUGAGGGAAAUGCAUUUCCGCUUCACGGCACGGUUUGGGGAGCAUUUACUAAAAAAUGAACAAGGCCGCGACCAGAAA